GUGCUCGCUUGGGUAGCACAUGUACUAAAAUUGGAACAAUACAGAGAAGAUUAGCAUGCCCCCUGUGCAAGGACGACAUGUAAACGUGUGAAGCAUUCCAUAGUUUU